AUGGCCAAGGAGGUGAGCGAGGAGCCGGAGCACGCCGCGCCGGCGCACAAGGACUACUCCGACCCGCCGCCGGCGCCGCUCUUCGACAUGGGGGAGCUCCGGAUGUGGUCCUUCUACCGGGCCAUCAUCGCCGAGUUCGUCGCCACGCUGCUCUUCCUCUACAUCACCGUCGCCACCGUCAUCGGCUACAAGGUGCAGUCGGCGGCCGACCCGUGCGGCGGCGUCGGCGUGCUCGGCAUCGCCUGGGCCUUCGGCGGCAUGAUCUUCGUCCUCGUCUACUGCACCGCCGGCAUCUCGGGCGGCCACAUCAACCCGGCCGUCACCUUCGGGCUCCUCCUGGCGCGCAAGGUGUCGCUGCUACGCGCGGUGAUGUACAUCGUGGCGCAGUGCGCGGGCGGCAUCGUGGGCGCCGGCAUCGUCAAGGGCAUCAUGAAGGACGCGUACCAGGCCAACGGCGGCGGCGCCAACAUGGUGGCCUCCGGCUUCUCCCGCGGCACCGCGCUGGGGGCGGAGAUCGUCGGCACCUUCGUGCUCGUCUACACCGUCUUCUCCGCCACCGACCCCAAGCGCAGCGCCCGCGACUCGCACGUCCCCGUGCUGGCGCCGCUCCCCAUCGGGUUCGCGGUCUUCAUGGUGCACCUCGCCACCAUCCCCAUCACCGGCACCGGCAUCAACCCCGCCAGGAGCCUCGGCGCCGCCGUCAUCUACAACAAGAAGGCCGCAUGGGACAACCACUGGAUCUUCUGGGUCGGCCCGUUCGUGGGAGCGCUGGCGGCGGCGGCGUACCACCAGUACAUCCUCCGGGCGGCGGCCAUCAAGGCGCUCGGCUCCUUCCGGAGCAGCCGGAGCAACUGA
rnacentral:rRNA from 1 species